CGGGAAUCAAAUCAGCAGCGAAAUCAUCUUCGUACAAAUAGUCGUACAUGUGUUUAAAAUUUCCACCCCAAGGCGAGGCUGCGAAAACCACCGCUCUUAUGUAAUGAUUUUUCCAGUAAAUGUUUUGCUUACGGAGAAAAAGAGACUCAAAGAAUUCAUCUUGUUCAUCUGAAAAGUAAAUCGAGUUAAUUAUAUACGAAAUUAUUUGAUUGGAGACACAAUUAAACUUACGAGGAGAUUUACGCCAAUCAUAUGGAGCUCCGAAGAUGUUGAUUCCUCUGGAAUAUCCUAAUUGCUCCAAUGAGUUGAUUAUAUUAACGUAAUACUCAGCUGAUUAUUCAAUGUCAUGAAUUGGGUGAAAAAGAAACAAAAAACUGAUUAAAAGCAGAAUUCAAAUGAUGAGACAAAUAUUCUGAAGCAACGAUGAGGCCACAAUUUAGAGAAGAAUAGAAAAUUCUUACUUGGUCGAACUUGAAAAGGAAAAGGAGAAAUAUAUUCUAUCGAUGCUGUAUCUCCCAUCGGCGGAACCAGAAUUUGUACUCCAGGA